UGUCAAGUCAGGGUGCAGUGAGAAGAUGUUGUCUGAAAGCCCAGGAGAGAGGUCUCCAGACACUGGGACUGCAGCAGCUUCAGCUUGGACUUCCAGGCUGCAGAACUGUGAGAAAUAAAGCCUGUUGCUUACAUUACUCAGUCGGUGAUAUCGUCAAGCAGCAUGAACUAAAAGUUUAAUAAAGGCUCGGAAAAUGUCAUUCAGUCUUUUUUAGCAUCCACAGAGACAGCAAUGGCCAUUCCAGAGCACGCUGCCUGCAGAGGGUGAAUGCUGAAUGCUGGGCUCACACUUGCCUUACAGAGGCCAACACGGGCCCUGGAGAAAGAGCUGCAGGAGCUGCAUCCUGGGUGCUCAGGAAGACGGAGUCCCAGAGCAGGGCCACCAUGAAUGGCAACCACAUUUUAUAGAGAAGAAAAGGAGUCCAUGAAAAUGAAACUGAAAGACCACACAGCCUGUUGGACACAUACACGCUGACUGACAGUUGUUUGGUUUCUGCUCACGUUUCAUCUGUGUGGCUCCCUCCAGUGCUCUGGAUUUGGCGCUGCCAGGUCUGCAGCACCGCCAGCAGGCCCAGGCUGCGUCCCCUCCUCUGGCCAGGCUGGGCGAGCUGCGCGUGCGCACUUUGGUGUCCAGGCUUCUGCGAUGUACUCCUGUGUCACCAGAUGGAAGAAGUGAAAACAUCCUUUGAGGAAAAACCCAAUUUUCUCACAAAAGGUGAGAGGUGACUCUCUAGAGCCAAAGGUUCUUGAAGGCUAAAACUCCAGAGACCACUUCUAGUUUGUUAAUUCUGACCUCUACGGGCUGGAGUCUGCAAAUGCAUCUACUUAAACCCGCGAAGGCAGGCCAGGCGUGAUUGUAAUCUUGGGCAGCCACUGCGGUUAUAAAGAACCAUCACUGAACUGAAGCAAGAACGUGGAACCAUUUAUUUUCACAGUAAAGAGAAAAUGCACUAUUAAAAGGCAACCGAAUGCAAAUGAAGACUCAUUAAAAAUAAUAAAGUGAAAGGACUUUGUAAUUUACUGACAAACGUUAUUACCCAGAAAAAAAUACAUUAUCGACAAAAUCAUAAAAGUGACAUUGUUUGUUCAUUUUCCUCAUAAAAUAAAAAAUUGACAGCUAAAUAGCAGUUUUUCCUUCUCUAAAGACUUAGUAAACAUCAACUGCACGCCUCCUGUAUGCAAUUGUAACCUGGGGAAGGAAAAUUGAGCCAUUACCACCAGAGACACUUGCAUUGGUAUUAGAUGGAAACAACAGAGGUGAAAAUCUUAUAAUUUUAUUUAUUUAUUUUUAAAAUUUUAUUUAAAGAAAGACUAAACAAAACAGAAAAUAGGUAGAAAUAAUACAUACGUUCAGAGAAAAAAAAUGAACAGUAAGAAAUCACUAGUUGAUGUUUACAUAUUGUCGUUUUACAAAUAGUUGUUCAAGAUACAAAAAUGGGACAUGUAAAGUGGGAAUUCAAACAGCGAGACUGCAAACAGUUCUGUUCAACUGUCCAGCAAAAACUUAGUAACAUGGUUGUCAAUCCUACAUACUUAAACAUACAUGCAGUUAUCCAUAGCUUCAUUUAUGUUUAGAUUAAACAAACUAAAGCAGGUCAAAAUCAUUCUGAACAAAGAAUAAUAGUAUUGCUGGAUUUCACAUCAUGACACUCCAUGAUCAGCACUAGGUACUACAGUGUCUUUUUAUUUAAAUGUAAUUUAAAGAAAGAUUAAACAAAACAGAAAAUGGGUAGAAAUAAUACAUAAUUUCAAACAAAAAAGAUAAACAGUAAGAAAUCACUAGUUGAUUACAGAUUAUCUUCUUACAAAUAGUUAUUCAAGAUACUAAAAGGGAGCUUAAAAAGUGGGAAUUCAAAGAGUGAGAUUGCAACCGGUUCUGUUCAACUAUCCAAUAAAAACUUAGAAAUAUGGUUAUCAAUCCUAUACACUUAAACAUAUAUGCAGUUAUCCGCCUCUUCAAUUAUGUUGAGAUUGAAUAAACCCAAGCAGGCUCAUAUUACUCUGAACAAAGAAUAAUACUAUUGCUGGGUUUCACAUUAUGACACUCCAGGAUCAGCACUGGGUAUUUUAGUGUCUCUUUUUCUUCAGAGUAUCUGUUCAUUUCAUCACGUGUCAUAUGAUCAGAUCUCAUAAACUGGUUAUAGAUUCUACACAUGCAUGAGUCUUAACAUAUAUUUCUAUCCUUUCUAUACUAGAGGGAGAAACAAAACAAAGCAAGGCAAAACAAAACAUAUUCCUAUAAACACAUGAAAUAAACCUAUAAGACCGUUGUACGAAUCGUUCUACCAUAGUUCCUGUGUUGUCUCUUGUUAUCUCCAAUAGAAUUGGCUAUAUCAUCAGACAUAGUAUAAUUGAAUAUGUCAGUACGUAACAGUAUUAAUAAAAAUACAACUUUGUAUAUAGUAUAGAACGUCAAAAACUGGCAGUUAUCAAACCAGAAUGUGUAUCAUUGAGUCUUGUCAUCUUCAGUGUAGUUGCCUGUACUCUCAGACUUGAUACUAUCAAUCACAUCAGUUUUGAAUAAAAUCUUC